AAAGUGUGUGAGAUGUCAUAGCUAGAGUGUGAAGGUCAGAGGACAGCAUUUAGCUUUCAGGAGUCAGCUCUCUCGUGUGGGUUCUGGAUCUAGAAUCAGCAGGUCAGGCUUGAGAACGAGUGCCUUAACUUGUUGUGCCACAUCAGCAGCCCACAGUAGAGCACGCUAUCUACCUGUCUUCACUUCGGGAUCACGAUAUACCUUUGUCUAUUUGAAAGUCAACACUGUGUCGUCCCUCUAGAGAUCCCUGCUCCUUUCCUGUGUGCUUCGAGCUGGUAGUGCUGACGAGACAUUCCUAGUGAAGAUUUUCAGGGCCCAUUUCUGGAAAUGUCACAGAAGCCCAGACUGCCACCCGAAGAGUGUCCUUCAUCCUCGAUCUUGAAUAGCAUCACUGUUCCUGUAUCAUCGCUAAGACAUGUCGCCUACUAAAGAUAGAGAAAAGUUAGUAGUUGUGACACUCAGACACCUCCUCCAGAGAUUCAGUGAACACCAGGAUGUGUUGCCCUAAGGCUGCCGCCCAACUGUGCCUCUGUGUGGCUGUAAGAAGAUGUGCUUGCCCCGCCCACCUCCAUAAGAAAUUUAAUUUUUAAAAAAGAAAUCCUUUACGAAGAGGAAGAAGUUGAAGGUGGAAGCCCAGAUUUUUCGCUGAUUUGAGAGAGUGUGUCUCAGGCCAUGUCUUAAAGAAGAAGACUUCUCAUGGAGAACGCAAUACCAGAGACCCAGACCACUGUGGCCUUCAAGCUCACAGAGUCAGCGAGCAGAUCAAGCCCCCAACCUCUUCCCUUUAAGAUGGAAUUAUUAUAUCCUGAGUUGCAAAGGCUGGAGAGCAAAUCAAACAAAGGAAACAUCUCUGCCUCCUACAAGAAACUCCCAUCUGGACUAAGGCAUGCUACAGAGACCUGGCCCAGAAGCCUGUCCUGUGUGUGCUUAGAAGACUGGAAGUCAGAAAGCAAAGGAGGCCCCACACUGAAGAGGUCAAAUGCAGUAGGAACCAGGUUUCAAUGAGGAAAGGGGUACCCAGGAGCCCUUGGCGCAGCCUGGUGUAUCAGUAGCCAUUCUACUGGCCUGAACUUGACAGUGAACAGUGGCUUUGGGAUGGGGGCCACUCUUCCUGCAGCCUAAAUCUACACUAGCCCAAACUGCCUGUAACUCCACCUACCUCCACAGGAAACUUGACUUCUC